GACGAACGCUGGCGGCGUGCUUAACACAUGCAAGUCGAACGGAAAGGCCCUGCUUUUGUGGGGUGCUCGAGUGGCGAACGGGUGAGUAACACGUGAGUAACCUGCCCUUGACUUUGGGAUAGCUUCAGGAAACUGGGGCUAAUACCGGAUAGGAGCUCCUGCUGCAUGGUGGGGGUUGGAAAGUUUCGGCGGUUGGGGAUGGACUCGCGGCUUAUCAGCUUGUUGGUGGGGUAGUGGCUUACCAAGGCUUUGACGGGUAGCCGGCCUGAGAGGGUGACCGGCCACAUUGGGACUGAGAUACGGCCCAGACUCCUACGGGAGGCAGCAGUGGGGAAUAUUGCACAAUGGGCGGAAGCCUGAUGCAGCAACGCCGCGUGCGGGAUGACGGCCUUCGGGUUGUAAACCGCUUUCGCCUGUGACGAAGCGUGAGUGACGGUAAUGGGUAAAGAAGCACCGGCUAACUACGUGCCAGCAGCCGCGGUGAUACGUAGGGUGCGAGCGUUGUCCGGAUUUAUUGGGCGUAAAGGGCUCGUAGGUGGUUGAUCGCGUCGGAAGUGUAAUCUUGGGGCUUAACCCUGAGCGUGCUUUCGAUACGGGUUGACUUGAGGAAGGUAGGGGAGAAUGGAAUUCCUGGUGGAGCGGUGGAAUGCGCAGAUAUCAGGAGGAACACCAGUGGCGAAGGCGGUUCUCUGGGCCUUUCCUGACGCUGAGGAGCGAAAGCGUGGGGAGCGAACAGGCUUAGAUACCCUGGUAGUCCACGCUGUAAACGGUGGGUACUAGGUGUGGGGUCCACUCCACGGGUUCCGUGCCGUAGCUAACGCUUUAAGUACCCCGCCUGGGGAGUACGGCCGCAAGGCUAAAACUCAAAGGAAUUGACGGGGCCCCGCACAAGCGGCGGAGCAUGCGGAUUAAUUCGAUGCAACGCGUAGAACCUUACCUGGGUUUGACAUGGAUCGGGAGCGCUCAGAGAUGGGUGUGCCUCUUUUGGGGUCGGUUCACAGGUGGUGCAUGGCUGUCGUCAGCUCGUGUCGUGAGAUGUUGGGUUAAGUCCCGCAACGAGCGCAACCCUUGUUCACUGUUGCCAGCACGUUAUGGUGGGGACUCAGUGGAGACCGCCGGGGUCAACUCGGAGGAAGGUGGGGAUGACGUCAAGUCAUCAGGCCCCUUAUGUCCAGGGCUUCACGCAUGCUACAAUGGCUGGUACAGAGAGUGGCGAGCCUGUGAGGGUGAGCGAAUCUCGGAAAGCCGGUCUCAGUUCGGAUUGGGGUCUGCAACUCGACCUCAUGAAGUCGGAGUCGCUAGUAAUCGCAGAUCAGCAACGCUGCGGUGAAUACGUUCCCGGGGCU
rnacentral:rRNA from 1 species